rnacentral:tRNA from 1 species
GGCUCGGUAGCUCAGUUAGUAGAGCAUCAGACUGAAAAUCUGAGUGUCGCCGGUGCGAUCCCGGCCUGAGCCACCA